rnacentral:rRNA from 1 species
UACGAAGGGUGCAAGCGUUACUCGGAAUUACUGGGCGUAAAGGGUGCGUAGGUGGUUUGUUAAGUCUGCUGUGAAAGCCCCGGGCUCAACCUGGGAAUGGCAGUGGAUACUGGAGAGCUAGAGUGCGGUAGAGGGUAGUGGAAUUCCCGGUGUAGCAGUGAAAUGCGUAGAGAUCGGGAGGAACACCAGUGGCGAAGGCGGCUACCUGGACCAGCACUGACACUGAAGCACGAAAGCGUGGGGAGCAAACAGG